AGCGAACGCUGGCGGCAGGCUUAACACAUGCAAGUCGAACGCCCCGCAAGGGGAGUGGCAGACGGGUGAGUAACACGUGGGAACGUACACUUUGGGUCGGAAUAACUUGGGGAAACUCAAGCUAAUACCGGAUAAGCCCUUACGGGGAAAGGUUUACUGCCGAAGGAUCGGCCCGCGUCUGAUUAGCUAGUUGGUGAGGUAACGGCUCACCAAGGAGACGAUCAGGAGCUGGUCUGAGAGGAUGAUCAGCCACAAUGGGACUGGGAACCGGCCCACACUCCUGCGGGAGGCAGUAGUGUGGAAUAGUGGACAAUGGAGGCAACACUGAUUCAGUCAUGCCGCGUGAGUGAUUAAGGACUUAGGGUUGUAAAGCUCUUUCACCGGGGAAGAUAAUGACUGUACCGGGAGAAUAAGCCCCGGCUAACUUCGUGCCAGCAGCCGCGGUAA
rnacentral:rRNA from 1 species